rnacentral:lncRNA from 1 species
CCCCAAAAUUGUGGGGGUGCUUCGGUACAAAACUCAGGGAGGAUAGAUUUGCCCCAGAAAUUUAAGUGGUCAUGCUGCAGCUAGGCAAUAAAUUAAGGAUUAGGUUUGAACAACACGAAAAGAGGGGAAAACACACACAUGUUGACUAGGUCACAAAGUUGCUGCCCCCAGUAGGAUGCACCCCAGGAUUUUGCAUGUUUUCCCAAAAUUCCAAGGACAUCCCAAACAACUUACUAGAAAAAAAAAGGUCUGGGCAAGAAUACAUUUGACACAAACAAAAUUUUGCAUGUUUACCAAAACCCUUGAACAUACCAGAAUUGACAUCUGGCUAGGGGAUUAAUUGGGCAUGCUCUAGGCAAGAAAAUUAGGGAAAAUUAAUCAGGCAAAACACACGAACGCGUGGCUAUUAGGUCAGUCAGUUUUUGUUUCUUUGUUGCACAUGAAAGUAUACAACUCCUGCUUCAUUAUCAUCGAGAAACACAUGCAUUAGGUUCAACAUAUCAUGCAACUACUGCUUUCACUGUACCAAAAACAGACACAUAACUUGGGCAGAACUUGCCCCAACACAUGUUCAUAGCAAAGAUAUUAACAGCAACAGGAAAAUCCUUGAUAAUGCAGGAGUGUCGCCAGGGAACUUUUGUCCUCUUCAACAUGCACCAAAAGAUUGCUUCCUCCUUCGUAGCCUCUCUAUUGCUUCACUGUACAAAAGAUAUAGACACAAAUCUUGCCCAGCACCUGUUCAUAGCAAGAAAUUCAUCAAAAAGGGUCCCCCAAAAAAAAGAGAAAGAAAAGGUACAGGAAAAACAGGGGCAAACAAUCGUCAUGUUUUGUUAUAAAAAAUGCAACUAUUUGCAUGUUACUGAUAUUUGUUCUAUGAUGCAGAUGAAUGCGAUAGACCUAAAAGAACUGCCUAUCCAUCUGAAUGAUGAAUCUGUGAUUGAGGGUUUUGAAACAUCUCUAUUUCCCGUUGCACUGUACACAAAUUUUGGCAGCCAACAAUGUGCAUACACUAGUGUUGGUGAGUCCCAAAAAAAUGCCAAAGGCUGAUGCAAGGAGGGGAUGAAUGUGCACUUGGAGUUGGGCACGUUGGAAAGCAAAAGAGAUUCUGGAUCAAAAGGAGGAAAUUUGCUAGACAGGCUAGUGCAUUUGCUGCAGCAAAAGAGAUUGCUGAAAAGCACAUGUGUUUGGCGCAGACUAAAAUUCCGCAUCUAAACAAAGCAAGGAAGAGACCUAAGAAGAAUGUGCCUGCCACAGUUUUGCCAGGUGAUCGAUGCAGCUCCUGCUGUGGAGUUAAGCAUCAGCACUGGAAGCUCCAAAAGUAAAGAAUCCAGAAAGAUCGCCGUUGAUCUUUAGAGUAGAUCUUUCCCUUUAUCGAGUCGACUAAAGGUAGAUCAAGGAAGAAGAGGUUUGAAAAUGCGCUCGAGCUGAGGCCAAAGCAUAAGAACAAAUGUGCUUUAUGUGGCUCGGAGGAUCACAAUUCAUCAACUUGUCCCUCUAGAUUGGUGUGAGAUAAGACAGAGAUUAUGGACUAGAAUCAUAUAGUGCUUGUUCAGAUAUAUAGAGAGAGAGUUUUGAAUUAAGUUCUUGUUUCUAUGUAAUAAUUGAGGGAUUUUUGUCUGUUUGUUUUUUCAUUUAACUUGUUGCUUCCUUGAGAAGCCUUUUGUUGGGAUUUGACCAAAGAAAGAUGAUUCUCUUAUCAUUCUCUUUUUUUAAGAAGUUGCUUGAUAUUUGAACUGGUUGCUUGUUUAUUAAGCAAAGUUUGUUGGUUGCCAAAUCUGCUUGGAACUCAUAGAUGAUGUUGCCUAUGAUCUUGUUUCAUGUGUUAUAAAAGUUGCUUGUACCUGAAAUGUUUACCAAGAGAAGGAGAGAGGGACAGAAAAGGCUUGGAAUUGUUGGAUUGAUCUAGGGAAAGCAACUUAGCAAUAUAUUUCCCCAUUUAGAAAAUCCUUUUGAAUAAUUGCUAGACAUGAACCUUGUUGUUCCUUGCCAAGCCAAGUUUGAUGUUUGUCAGAGAAAAAGAAAAGCAACUCAGAUAUAGUUGCUUUGAUGUGUAACGAGUUGCUAGGUGAAUUUGCUGCAGCCCGCCUGGAUAUAGUUUCUUGAUAUAGGUAUAUUUUCUUAAGAAUUAAACAACAACUCAUAAAAACAGGUAUAUUAUUUAGUAGUUGCUUGUUGUGCAUAUAAAAUGCUUGAUGGGAAAAAGAAACUUUGCUGCAACUGUCAUGUUUGAUUCAGAACAACGAUAAAGAACAAGAACGACUUAGAUAUUGUUGCUAGAUAUGUAAACAGGCUGCUACGCAAAAUUUGCUACUAAUUGUCUAAAGAACAACCAGAUACAGCGACUCACUUAUUUGAGUUUGAGAACUGUUUUCCAGCGUUGCUGUCUUUGUCAGAAUCCAUCCAUGCAUGAGUGAGUAGCUUCCUUAUGCUUGGGAUCUUUGAUUGCCCAUAUUCAGAGGUGCUCUUCCAUCCCACAAUUGUGCAUUCAUUAACAUGAAAAUGCUACAGUCAUGCCUGCUUGGUGGAGAGAAAAACAGAGAGAAAGGUAAGGACACAAGUGAGUGCUAAAAAAAAACAGGGGGUGAUAUGAAAAGUGUUGUUAGAGGCCACGUAUUUUCUUGCUUUGGUCCCCUAACAUCCAGAAACUUGUAAUUGUCAACUAUUGCUGUGGAUUUGCUGUAAUGGGCAUCCCAUAAACAUGUGACACAAGCAAUUAUUGUCCAUGCACAAUUGUUCAAACUCUUGUCGUUCAAUGACCUCAUUGAAUUGAACGCUUCGUAUCUCCUAUCCCUUAUAUUCAAGUUGAACAACCAAUAGUGGUGAGCUGCUCGAGGGUUUUGUGGAUCGAGUAAUUGUAGAACCGGGAACAUGACAUGUUCCCCAAAUCAGAAGAAAAGAGACAGAUUCUAUAUCAUGAACUGUUUGCAGGGGGCAGAUAAUUUACAAAAUCCAGAAACAACAAAGAAAGCAAUUAUGACUUCAUUCAGAAACAACAAAGAAAUGCAACGGGAAAAAACAGAAAAUGAGAGAUCAGAAGCUCAAUAAGCAGAUACAUUACGGGGAUGCUUGUCAGGCAACUAAUAUAAUAACAGAAAAUCAUGUACAAAAGGUGCCUAACAUCUCUAAACUAGAAAAAUCUAGUCAACAUAUGACUAAUCAUGUACAAACCUUGGCUAGAAAAAACACAAGGCGCGCAAAGGGUGGCUCCAAAAAUGCCUAACGUCCAAAACUACAAACACAAGUCGUGUAGGCAACAUUCUAUAAUCAUGUACAAAAGGUGACUUGCUCAUGUUCUGAACCCAUGGAGGAUCCUAGCAUUAGCCUAACAGCUAAAUUCAAAGAAGAGCAAUCCUGGGGUCCAGCAACUUCCUAUUGUAUUGUUGUCUGCACAACAACUUUUAUUCUAAGCAAAUCAGAAAAACCAAGUAUUUUGAAAAGCGACUUAUCUAUCCUGUACAGAAAAAGCAAAUAAUAAAAAAAGCAAAAUUUCUAUUCUCUACAACAACUAUUUUAAAAAGCGACUUCUCUAUUCAGUACAGAAAAAGCAAAUCAGAAAAGGCAGAUUCUCUAUUAUCUAGUCAAAGUAACUCCGUCUAGAUAAAAACCUCGGGAGCCUCCCGGUCUUCUCUAUGGCAGGCUCCACAUCAGUUAUCUCAUUUGGGAUUUAGUUAACUUUGAACCAAAAACACUACUGUACUUGAAGCAUGUUGUCAACACCACCUGCUUUGCCUCCCCGGGUCCUGCAACUGAAAGUUGGCCAUCUUUUACAUCGCGUCUCCUACGACGAGGAAUUACAUCUCCAGCUUCAGCAUCUUCGGGUGCUUCGUCUUCCUCAAUUGUGUUCAUUAUAGCCCCUCUGCAAAAAGAAAGGAUGCUUUACAUUACCGAAAAAAUCAACUACUGACUCAGAAAAAUGAAUCCACUUAUAAUGUUGGUCAAUACAAACGAAUUUUUAUUGUCCUUUACUUAAAGCAAGAAGGUUGAAAAUAAAUUAGCCAAGCACAUACUGAGAUACACAUAUUGAGAAUGUGACUUGUUGUCAAUUUUGUAAACUAAAAACAAAAGGCAAGUUGUCCAUAAAAAAUAAUUCAACUUCUAAUUCAGCACAUUUUAUGCGUGAGCUAGGAAAACAGUCCUAAUACAAAUUCUGCUCCAAACAAACCGACUAGCACAUAUGGUACAAGUUUUUCCAAAAUCAGUAAUGCAUCUAAAAAAACUCCCUGAAAAAGCAACUCGUACUCACGUAGUAAGGAAAACAACUUAUAGUUAUAGGUUAUGUUAGUGAAUAAAACAGUGCAUAGAGAAUGAAAGCAACUUUGGCAAAGUUUGCCUAAACACGGUAACCUAAGGCAUCUCACACCUAUGACCUAUCUCAAAAUCAGGCAAAAAUCACUUCCUAAGAAAAGCAAAUCAACACCCACUGGACCAUUUGAAUCCUGCAAAAUCAACUUAUUAGGAACUUAUUCUUAUGUUUUUUUUGCGGGUAAGGAACUUAUUCUUAUGUUUUCAAUUACAAGUUGGCUAAAUAGAAUUGAGUUCUUAUUCUGAAAAAAGCAACUCCCAAAUAUAUGAUGGAUAUGUGAUUUGCCUAAUGCAAUGCAAUUCAAUUAGCUGACGCCUGACGGAAACUUGUGAAACUGGUAAAAUGUCAAAACUAAAAAGGAGAUACUAACAUCAACUCCUACCUACUCCCUCCGAUCCUAAAUGGUUGUCAUUGUUUUAGUUCAAACUAAAAAAAUAAGCAUAGUAAAAACAACAAAAGCUAAGAUUUAGGCCAAAAAUGCAUGGCCCAAGUCGCCCCAAUUUGGUUCGGUUGAUUUGAUUUACAGGCUGUCCCCUAGCUAGACACUUGCUAAACCUUGCCUCGAAACCUUGUCUGGUUCAAAAACGCUAUCCCCCGGUUUGCAUUUUCUAGGACAAAUAGUUCGGAUCACACAGAAAACGUAGGGGUCCCCUUGGAUUUUAAUCCCUAGCACACGUACGAACCACGAGCAUGUAAACUGGUGGAAACAUGUGCUACAUAGCAGCAGACUAAACCUAGAAUACGAAAAAUGGAUCAAAAAAUUGCUAGCAUAAAAUGCUUAGAUCCAACUAUAAGUGAUGCUUAGGAUGAGGAUGGUUAAACCACAUGCUCGGGAUUGGGUGGUAGGGGUGGGAGAAAUCAAGGACGAACAUACAUGGAUGAGAGGAGGUCUAACCGGUAGAAAUUCGCAGGCGUAUAUGGUAGCUGCGCAUGACGUGCUAUAUGCGCUCGCCGCCGUGGUUGAUGCGACCCCUCGUGCUCGAUUCGCCCGUCGAUGUACCCGCCAGGAACGUUACUGGCAGAAGCUCCGGAUUUCAGCGAUGGAAUCGCCUUCCUGUAGACCUCACCGCCUCCUUCGAAGACAUGCAGGGGUCCCCGCGCCCUAUCGCCUCACCAGUAAUAUCUCACGCCACGGCAAAAUCAACACCACCUCGCAGCGUCGACGCUGACUCCGCGCCGCGCCGCAUUGCCGAUGACCGCGCUGCUGUUCCGCUGCCCCUCACCGACACCAAGCGCGC